AGGGUUGAUAGGUUAAGAGCUAAUUAUCUGGACGUUACCCACAGAAGAAGCACCGGCUAACUCCGUGCCAGCAGCCGCGGUAAUACGGAGGGUGCGAGCGUUAAUCGGAAUUACUGGGCGUAAAGGGUGCGUAGGUGGUUUAGUAAGUUAUCUGUGAAAUUCCUGGGCUCAACCUAGGGUGGUCAGAUAAGACUGCUGGACUAAGAGUAUAGGAGAGGGUAGUGGAAUUUCCGGUGUAGCGGUGAAAUGCGUAGAGAUCGGAAGGAACACCAGUGGCGAAGGCGGCUACCUGGCCUAAUACUGACACUGAGGCACGAAAGCGUGGGGAGCAAACAGGAUUAGAUACCCUGGUAGUCCACGCUGUAAACGAUGUCAACUAGCUGUUGG
rnacentral:rRNA from 1 species